GACGAACGCUGGCGGCGUGCUUAACACAUGCAAGUCGAACGGAAAGGCCCCGUUGGUGGUACUCGCGUGGCUAACGAGUGAGUAACACAUGAGUAACCUACCCUUCACUGCGUGAGAACUUCAGUCAACUGGCUCUAAUACCGGCUGGGAAGGCGUUCCUGAUGCUUGGUGUUGGUAAGCUUGUGUGGGUUUGGAUGGACUCGCGGCUUAUCAGUUUGUUGGUGGGGGAGUGGGUUACCUAGGCUUUGACUGGUAGGCGGCCCGGGAGGGCGAACGGCCAAAAUGGGAAUGGGAUAACGGCCCGACCCCUACCGGGGGGCAGAGUGGGGAAUAUUGGAAAAUGGGCGGGAGCCCGAUGCCGCCACGGCGGGUGGGGGAUGAAGGGCCUCGGGUUGGAAACCGGUUUCAGCAGGGGAGAAGCUUGUGGUGACGGUAAUUGCAGAAGAAGCACCGGCUAACUACGUG
rnacentral:rRNA from 1 species